UACGGAGGGUGCGAGCGUUAAUCGGAAUUACUGGGCGUAAAGCGUGCGUAGGUGGUUGAUUAAGUUAUCUGUGAAAUUUCUGGGCUUAACCUGGACAGGUCAGAUGAUACUGAUUGACUCGAGUAUGGGAGAGGGUAGUGGAAUUUCCGGUGUAGCGGUGAAAUGCGUAGAGAUCGGAAGGAACACCAGUGGCGAAGGCGGCUACCUGGCCUAAUACUGACACUGAGGCACGAAAGCGUGGGGAGCAAACAGG
rnacentral:rRNA from 1 species